UACGAAGGGGGCUAGCGUUGUUCGGAAUUACUGGGCGUAAAGCGCACGUAGGCGGAUCGAUCAGUCAGGGGUGAAAUCCCAGGGCUCAACCCUGGAACUGCCUUUGAUACUGUCGAUCUGGAGUAUGGAAGAGGUGAGUGGAAUUCCGAGUGUAGAGGUGAAAUUCGUAGAUAUUCGCAAGAACACCAGUGGCGAAGGCGGCUUACUGGUCCGGUUCUGACGCUGAGGCGCGAAAGCGUGGGGAGCAAACAGG
rnacentral:rRNA from 1 species